AGUGAACGCUGGCGGUAGGCCUAACACAUGCAAGUCGAACGGCAGCACAGUAAGAGCUUGCUCUUACGGGUGGCGAGUGGCGGACGGGUGAGGAAUACAUCGGAAUCUACUUUUUCGUGGGGGAUAACGUAGGGAAAAUUACGCUAAUACCGCAUACGACCUACGGGUGAAAGCAGGGGAUCUUCGGCCCUUGCACGAUUGAAUGAGCCUAUGUCGGAUUAGCUAGUUGGCGGGGUAAAGGCCCACCAAGGCGACGAUCCGUAGCUGGUCUGAGAGGAUGAUCAGCCACACUGGAACUGAGACACGGUCCAGACUCCUACGGGAGGCAGCAGUGGGGAAUAUUGGACAAAGGGCGCAAGCCUGAUCCAGCCAUGCCGCGUGGGUGAAGAAGGCCUUCGGGUUGUAAAGCCCUUUUGUUGGGAAAGAAAAGCAGCAGGUUAAUACCCCGCUGUUCUGACGGUACCAAAAGAAUAAGCACCGGCUAACUUCGUG
rnacentral:rRNA from 1 species